CAUAAGGCAAGGAAAAGAAAUAGUAAACAGGUAGCUUUUUUAGAGAGUCGGUGGUAGGUGAGAAUCGAUAAAGUCAACUGUUGAAUCCCUCUUGGAGCUAUAUACUGAAAUAGAGUAGGUAUCAUCGGUUUGCAACCGUUAAAAAGCAGUAGAGUGAAUUAGUCUAUACUAAUUAACUAGGGUGGCAACACGGAAAUAGAGCUUCCGUCCCUUUA
rnacentral:ncRNA from 1 species